rnacentral:lncRNA from 1 species
CAGCACAUAUACAGUAUCUACGGUCUCACCACUGAAAUGAAGGGCCAGAUGACAGAGCUCAACGGAAGUGCCCAUUGUAUUCUAGUGGAGAGGUGAGAGCCAAGCGUUCUACAGAUUGUAUUCUCGUGGAGAGGUGAGAGUCAAGCGUUCUACAGAUUGUAUUCUAGUGGAGAGGUGAGAGCCAAGCGUUCUACAGAUUGUAUUCUAGUGGAGAGGUGAGAGCCAAGCGUUCUACAGAUUGUAUUCUCAUGGAGAGGUGAGAGCCAAGCAUUCUACAGAUUAUAUUCUAGUGGAGAGGUGAGAGCCAAGCGUUCUACAGAUUGUAUUCUCAUGGAGAGGUGAGAGCCAAGCGUUCUACAGAUUAUAUUCUAGUGGAGAGGUGAGAGCCAAGCAUUCUACAGAUUGUAUUCUCUUGGAGAGGUGAGAGUCAAGCGUUCUACAGAUUAUAUUCUAGUGGAGAGGUGAGAGCCAAG